UCUUUGCAGCCCGACUUAAGUGGAACUCCUUUUUUUGCAUUUGAAAAAAAGAGUGGGAACGGAAGGCGGAAUUGCUG
rnacentral:misc_RNA from 1 species